rnacentral:rRNA from 1 species
GACGAACGCUGGCGGCGUGCUUAACACAUGCAAGUCGAACGGAAAGGCCUCUUCGGAGGUACUCGAGUGGCGAACGGGUGAGUAACACGUGGGCAAUCUGCCCUGCACUUCGGGAUAAGCCUGGGAAACUGGGUCUAAUACCGGAUAGGACCUCAAGACGCAUGUCUUCUGGUGGAAAGCUUUUGCGGUGUGGGAUGGGCCCGCGGCCUAUCAGCUUGUUGGUGGGGUGACGGCCUACCAAGGCGACGACGGGUAGGCGGCCUGAGAGGGUGUCCGGGCACACUGGGACUGGGAUACGGCCCAGACUACUACGGGGGGCAGCAGUGGGGAAUGUUGCACAAUGGGCGCAAGCCUGAUGCAGCGACGCCGCGUGGGGGAUGACGGCCUUCGGGUUGUAAACCUCUUUCACCAUCGACGAAGGUCCGGGUUUUCUCGGAUUGACGGUAGGUGGAGAAGAAGCACCGGCCAACUACGUGCCAGCAGCCGCCGUAA